rnacentral:rRNA from 1 species
UUCUCCUGGAAAACGGGUGGUAAUGCCGGAUGCUCCAGUUGACCGCAUGGUCCUUUGGGAAAGCUUUUGCGGUAUGGGAUGGGGUCGCGUCCUAUCAGCUUGAUGGCGGGGUAACGGCCCACCAUGGCUUCGACGGGUAGCCGGCCUGAGAGGGCGACCGGCCACAUUGGGACUGAGAUACGGCCCAGACUCCUACGGGAGGCAGCAGUGGGGAAUAUUGCACAAUGGGCGCAAGCCUGAUGCAGCGACGCCGCGUGCGGGAUGACGGCCUUCGGGUUGUAAACCGCUUUUGACUGGGAGCAAGCCCUUCGGGGUGAGUGUACCUUUCGAAUAAGCACCGGCUAACUACGUGCCAGCAGCCGCGGUAAUACGUAGGGUGCAAGCGUUAUCCGGAAUUAUUGGGCGUAAAGGGCUCGUAGGCGGUUCGUCGCGUCCGGUGUGAAAGUCCAUCGCUUAACGGUGGAUCCGCGCCGGGUACGGGCGGGCUUGAGUGCGGUAGGGGAGACUGGAAUUCCCGGUGUAACGGUGGAAUGUGUAGAUAUCGGGAAGAACACCA